rnacentral:rRNA from 1 species
UACGGGGGGAGCAAGCGUUGUUCGGAUUUACUGGGCGUAAAGGGCGCGUAGGCGGCCACCGCAAGUCGACUGUGAAAUCUCUGGGCUUAACCCAGAACGGUCAGCCGAUACUGCGGGGCUAGAGUGCAGAAGGGGCAACUGGAAUUCUCGGUGUAGCGGUGAAAUGCGUAGAUAUCGGGAGGAACACCAGUGGCGAAGGCGACUUCCUGGCCCGUUCUUGACGCUGAGGCGCGAAAGCUAGGGGAGCAAACGGG